CCUAACACAUGCAAGUCGAACGGUAACAGGAAACAGCUUGCUGUUUUGCUGACGAGUGGCGGACGGGUGAGUAAUGUCUGGGAAACUGCCUGAUGGAGGGGGAUAACUACUGGAAACGGUAGCUAAUACCGCAUAACGUCGCAAGACCAAAGAGGGGGACCUUCGGGCCUCUUGCCAUCGGAUGUGCCCAGAUGGGAUUAGCUAGUAGGUGGGGUAACGGCUCACCUAGGCGACGAUCCCUAGCUGGUCUGAGAGGAUGACCAGCCACACUGGAACUGAGACACGGUCCAGACUCCUACGGGAGGCAGCAGUGGGGAAUAUUGCACAAUGGGCGCAAGCCUGAUGCAGCCAUGCCGCGUGUAUGAAGAAGGCCUUCGG
rnacentral:rRNA from 1 species